AGGGGAAAAGAAACAACAAGCCAAAAACACCAGGGGAAAAGAAACCAAGGAAGCAGGAACCAAACAACAGAUCAAACCACCUCUUCCUCGUAGCAGAUCCUUUUUCAAACCAUUCUCACCAGUUAGAACCCAGAUCUACAAAACAAACGCAAAACAAAACUAUACAAACCAAUUAGGGAAGGCGAGGGACCCUAAAAGCCCCAGCCGGCGAUGAGCCUUUCCCUAUCCCGAAGGAAAAGGGAAAACCACCGGAGAUGACGCUCAGCUUUUUUGAGAGGCUAAGAGAAAGAGGCUUCUAAAGAGAAAAAUUCUCAGAGAGAUUUCUC
rnacentral:misc_RNA from 1 species